rnacentral:rRNA from 1 species
GUGGGGAAUCUUCCGCAAUGGACGAAAGUCUGACGGAGCAACGCCGCGUGAGUGAAGAAGGUUUUCGGAUCGUAAAGCUCUUUCGUUAGGGACGAACGUGCUCUUUGUGAAUAAUGAGGAGUAAUGACGGUACCUAAAUAAGAAGCCACGGCUAACUACGUGCCAGCAGCCGCGGUAAUACGUAGGUGGCAAGCGUUGUCCGGAAUUAUUGGGCGUAAAGCGCGCGCAGGCGGGAUAUCAAGUCUGUCUUAAAAGUGCGAGGCUCAACCUCGUGAGGGGACAGAAACGGGUAUUCUUGAGUGUCGGAGAGGAAAGUGGAAUUCCAAGUGUAGCGGUGAAAUGCGUAGAGAUUUGGAAGAACACCAGUGGCGAAGGCGACUUUCUGGACGAUGUCUGACGCUGAGGCGCGAAAGCUAGGGGAGCGAACGGGAUUAGAAACCCCUGUAGUCC